rnacentral:rRNA from 1 species
UCUGGCGACCAUAGCCUUUUGGCCCCACCCCUUCCCAUCCCGAACAGGACCGUGAAACGAAAGCGCGCCGAUGAUAGUGAGCAGCUCGCUCGUGAAAGUAGGUCAUCGCCAGAC